rnacentral:rRNA from 1 species
AUACGGAGGACGCGAGCGUUAUCCGGAUUCAUUGGGUUUAAAGGGUGCGCAGGCGGCCGUGCAAGUCAGCGGUGAAAGCCCGGGGCUCAACCCCGGAAGUGCCGUUGAUACUGCAUGGCUGGAAUGCGGUCGAGGCGGGCGGAACGUGGCGUGUAGCGGUGAAAUGCGUAGAUAUGCCACAGAACGCCGAUAGCGGAGGCAGCUCGCCAGGCCUGCAUUGACGCUCGGGCACGAAAGCGUGGGGAUCGAACAGGAUUAGAUACCCUGGUAGUCCACGCAGUAAACGAUGAUGGCUAACCGCUGGUUUAUUCGGAUCAGUGGCCAAGCGAAAGCGAUAAGCCAUCCACCUGGGGAGUACGACCGCAAGGUUGAAACUCAAAUGAAUUGACGGGG